GACAGAGGGUGCAAACGUUGUUCGGAAUUACUGGGCGUAAAGCGCGUGUAGGCGGCUUUGCAAGUCGGGUGUGAAAUCCCUCAGCUUAACUGAGGAAGUGCGCCCGAAACUGCCGAGCUUGAAUACCGGAGAGGAUGGCGGAAUUCCCCAAGUAGAGGUGAAAUUCGUAGAUAUGGGGAGGAACACCGGUGGCGAAGGCGGCCAUCUGGACGGCUAUUGACGCUGAGACGCGAAAGCAUGGGGAGCAAACAGG
rnacentral:rRNA from 1 species